CUAAACAAAGAUCGCUGACCGAAGAUGUUAAGUUCAAAUGUCACGCCGCGUCCUUGCUUGCGACACAACCCACUAUAAAUACCAGCUCUGCCAUCCGAAUAGCAUCAGUUGUUCUCCUGCCUUGCUUCAGUUGUAUCAACCACCCCACACCAACACAAAAAUGAAAUCGUUCGUAGUAUUCGCCCUGAUCAUCGCCGCGGCCCUCGCUGCCCCAGCAUCCAACCCAGCUGAUGCCAACGCUGAGAUCGUCGAGCAGACAAUCGAUAACAUUGGCAUCGACGGCUACAACUACAGAUCCCGCACAUCGAACGGUAUCAACCAAGAAGAGUCUGGAGUAC